rnacentral:piRNA from 1 species
ACAACAAAAGGACAGGAGGACCCAG